rnacentral:misc_RNA from 1 species
GAUGAAGAACGUAGCGAAAUGCGAUAAGUAAUGUGAAUUGCAGAAUUCAGUGAAUCAUCGAAUCUUUGAACGCACAUUGCGCCCCUUGGUAUUCCGAGGGGCAUGCCUGUUCGAGCGUCAUUUUGACCACUCCCGCUUGCGGGGUCUUGGGCCUUCGCCUCUGGGCGGGCCUUAAAAUCAGUGGCGGUGCCGUCCGGCUCUAAGCGUAGUAAAUCUCCUCGCUAUAGGGUUCCGGAGGGAUGCUGGCCAACAACCCCCAACUUUCUAUGGUUGACCUCGGAUCAGGUAGGGAUACCCGCUGAACUUAAGCAUAUCAAUAAGCGGAGGA